GACGAACGCUGGCGGCGUGCUUAACACAUGUAAGUCGAACGGAAAGGCCCUGCUUUUGUGGGGUGCUCGAGUGGCGAACGGGUGAGUAACACGUGAGUAACCUGCCCUUGACUUUGGGAUAACUUCAGGAAACUGGGGCUAAUACCGGAUAGGAGCGCCUGCUGCAUGGGGGGGGUUGGAAAGUUUCGGCGGUUGUGGAUGGAUUCGCGGCUUAUCAGCUUGUUGGUGGGGUAGUGGCCUACCAAGGGUUUGACGGGUAGCCGGCCUGGGAGGUUGGACAGGCUCCAUGGGCCUAAGAGACGGACCAGUGGCGAACGGGGGGCAGUGGUGGGGAAUCUUACACAGUGGGGCGAAGCCUGAGAAAGAGGCGCCGCGAGUGGGAUGACGGCUUUCGGGUUAUAAACCGCUGUAGCCUGUGACGAAGCGUGAUUGACGGUAAUGGGUAAAGAAGCACCGGCUAACUACGUG
rnacentral:rRNA from 1 species